rnacentral:lncRNA from 1 species
AAGAAGUGGAUAUGGAAAUAGUUCCGAUUUUUGUAAAAAUUGCUCGACGUUGGAUCGAGUAUUUGUUUUUGUUAUUUUUCUGAAAAUGGUUGAUUUUAAUCUUUCAAAUUAACAAUCAGCUGAUACAAUAAAAUAUAUAAAAGCAGUAAAUUUAUUACAUAUUCACGGGAAUGAAAUACAUUUUGCUGAAUGGGGAUACAACAUAAUAAUUAAAUCAUACUAGCUUUGAAAGACAGUUGCAAAAUAAAAGAAUCUCGUUGUAAGAAAGUCCAAGAGAAAGUCAAGGGACUCGAAGUAAAAAUCAGAAAUUAAACUAAAAUUUUUUUAGCACCAUGUUAAGCAAUCGUAAAGCGAUUAAUGUAGGAAUCACCUUAUCUGAGGCCGAUCAACAGAACUUUAUGCGUUUAAGCAGUUUCUAAAGUUAAAUUGAAUUUUAACUCCAAAACUGCAAUGCAUCUCUGAAGAACCGAUAGGACCAAAAAAAUUGAAUUUAUCUUUUAACAAUUUAAAUAAUCAAUUUAAUCAACAAAUAACAAUAAUAAUAAACAAUAUCAACGAUAAUGAUUAGAAAUAAUAAUAAUAAUAAUAAUAAUAAUAAUAAUAAUAAUAAUAAACAAACAAUAGUAAUUACAAUAAAAAUAAUGGUAAAUAAUAAAAAUAAAUAAUAAUAACAAUAAUAAUGAUUAUCAAUAAACGAUAAUAACAAAAAUAAAUAUAUAAUGGUAAUAAUAAAUCAAUAAUAAUAAAUAAAACAAAUAAAAAUUAAUAAUAAAAUCAACAAUAAUAAUAAUAAAUAAUAAUAUUCAAUAAUAAAAAUUAACAACAAUAGUAAUCAAUAAAUACAAAUAAAAAAUAAAAAUAAUAAUAAUAAUAAUAAUAAUAAUGGUAAUGGUUAGUAAAAAUCAAAAUAAUAAUAGUAAUAAUCAUAAUAAAUAAAUAUUAAUGAUAGUUAAUAAAUAAUAAUCAAUAAUAAUAAUAAUAAUAAUAAUAAUAAUAAUAAUAAUAAUAAUAAUAAUAAUAAUAAAUGAAAAAUGGGGCGAUGCAUGUAUUUCUACAAGCUUCCUGAUCAACACACCAAAAACAAGUCAAUAUUAACCUCAUAUUUUCUAAGUUUAAAAACAACCAAUAAUGUGGUAAUAUGUGGCCAUAAUAAUAUUUAAAAUAAAAUAAAAACAUAAAUCUCUCUUCACCAUCACACAUCUUCUUCAUGACAAAACUAACCUUUCUUCUUCAUGAAAUUUUUGUGAGCAAUAUCUAUUUUUCAAACUUAAAAAAAUAAACUGCCUUCUUCAUGAAACUUAAAGCAACACAACAAGUGAAAUGUAUAAAUCUUGAUUUUCAAUCAAAGUACAAAUCAAAACUUAAAACAAAUCAAACUUUCAUUUUUCAGAAAAACAAACUUGAGACAACAAACAUCGACCUUCACCCAUUCACAACAACGAAAGCGAAACUUAACAAAGUCAGAAAUCGAAGGAAAGAAGUGGUAUAACAUGCCUUUCGUCAGAGCUGUACGGAAUUGAUGAGUAGGCGUCGAAGAGCUCGUUGAGUCGGCGUCUAGGUGCCGUAGUUGUUGUUUGUUGUAGUGAUCGGUCGGUGAACGUCGCCGACUUAGAUGUUUGGAGCGACAGAAGGAGUAUUAUAGUAGUGUUGAUGGUUUGUUCUAUGUGGUUUGAUGAAGAUAUUGAGUUGUUGUUGAAGCUUUCAUGAGAUUUGUUGUUGUUUUAAUGGAUUUAGAGGUGAUGGAUAAUGGUGGUUUUAUGAAAUUUUCUUGUAGCAAGGUUUUUUAUAGUUGUUUAGAGAUGAAGAUGGUGAUGAAGAGUAAGUUGUAAUGGUGAUUUUUAUGAUGAGCUAUUGAUGGUGGUGUUUUCUUGAGAGUGAGAAGGAAAUGUGAUGGGUGUUUGCACCAUGUAUUAGUGCAUGAAAGAAGAAAAAACGUGUGUCUUUCAAUUUAAGAGGAAAGAGUUUAUUCUAUUUUCUUUUUAUUGUGGCCCGCGUGUCGCUUCUUCACCGGAGGGAGAUCAUUUAUUUUUUUCUUGAAACAAAUAUUUGCUAUGCUUCCACAUCUCCAUUUCCCUUACCAUUCAUUCUCUAUUGCAAUUGGUAAAAGAUAUCUUCAUGUAACCAAAGAAAUAACGCCACAUGGCACUGAAAGAGAGAGGAUUUUAUCCAAUCUUUUUACUUGAUUUUGGAAUUUAAAAAAUAAAUCUAUCUAAUGAAAUAAAAAUUAAAAGAACAAAUAAAAAAAACAAACUAGGUACUUAAAUAAAUUCUAAUUUAUUCUACUAAUUAUAUUUACUAAAAAAUAAAAAUAAUCAGAUAAAAAAAAAUUCGGGCAAAAAAAUGUUCGAAAAAAUAAAUUAACUGCACCAAAAUUAUCAGCGCGAAAUACACUAUUCGAAAACAUAUAUGUUUUGAUCGAAAUUUUGAAAUAAAAAUUGACCGGUUAAAAGACUCAGGUUGAUCAGAACGCGAUCGAAAAAGUAGUCAAAAAAUUAAAACGAGCAUACUAGGUUAAACUACGCGGAACGUAGAUUAAUAAAACUGACAUCUGCAAGCUCAAAUUUGAAAAUUUCCGCCCGCUAAUUCGUCAUUCAAUUGAGAAACUAUUCGAUCGGUCUCUCUGUAGAUCCGAAAAAUUUAUCUGGCCGAUAUUUCAAGUGUUAUGUGAAACAAAAUGCAUGAUAUGACAAGUAUAAAAAUGUAAACGUCUUCUAAAUGCACUGAAUUUCUAAUUGAAUAAUCGUAAAUGGAUAAUCAUAUGCAAAUGAAUCGCCCUUGGACCAUUUACUUUUGAUUCUCCAUCACAAAUAAAACAUUUCAAAGAUUCAGAUGACGACAAAACUCUUGAUUGUCAUCCUCUGAACCUUUGAAAACACGAUGCAAUGGAAUGAACGAUGCUAUGAGAUUGAGAAAUCAAGUCUUUCGACUUCUUAAUCAAUAGAUAACUGAAUGAAUGUCAUCAAGACCAAUAAACUGCCAAAACUCCAAACUUUUUAUCUAAACCCCAAUGAAUGCUUUUAACUGAUGAAAAUGUAUGACAAAAAUGGAUAAAUUUAUGCUAUGUUUAUGCGAGUGAAAACUCAUGGUAAAAUUUAGGGUAUGCCACAACACACACUCUAUCAUACGCACAUGCUAUUAGGUGACCCAUGUCAAGGAAGCACAUCCAUUUUGCCUCUGGUGCCGGACCGCUAAGGCAAGGAACAAGAGACUCGUAAACUUCAUCGAAUGUUUCUUUCUUUCCGUACAACUGUGUGCAUGAUUCUUUAUACGUCAUGAACUAUUGGAUAAGUUGAUGGAAGACAAGUGUAUGAUUAUCUUCUCAUUUACCGAGUAAAUUCGAAAUUGUUCGAUAACUACAAUUACUACCCCCCGUAACAUUGACGAUUCACUCGAUGUAUUUGUGCAUAAAAACGGGCACCUCGUCGAUGAAUGGAAUUUUUUGUGGAGGCGGCGUAUGAGGUGGUUUGCUAAUGCGAGGUCCUUUGAAAACACUUUUUUGAAAUUUUGGAGUUGGUAAGUCGGGAAAAACUUUGUCAACAUGUUCAAAAAAUGAAGGAGAUCGUGUAGUCGAAUUGUCAUUCAGUGUUGGCUUCAUUUUCUUCGGAGCACCUUUUGUUUUUACCGGUUGAGAUGGUGGUUUCAUGUCGAUGCUUUCCGGAUAGGCAAUCUUCCUCAAUUGUUCUUUGAUGUGGAGUUUCAAGUUGUCACCGACUUUCAAAAGUCUCUCUUGUAUCACUUCUCAUUCGGUCAUAAUAGAGAUAUUCGAUUUACCGUCAUUCAUGACACGAUCAUCAUCAAAUGAGUGCAAACCUCAUCCACUGUUAUUAGGCUACCAAGUUUCACCUUUUUUGCAACAACACAAGCACAUGAGAGACCAUAUGUUUUCACAAUUGUGCAUGCACACUUUGCACUAUCAGAGCCUACAUAUCAGCUCGUUUAGCCUCAUGAAAAGUAUAAUUCAAACCCGCACGAGAAAUGUUAUCGACCAACUGAGAAUAAAGAGUGUUGUCUUUAAAUUUGUAUUCCAAAACUGUGAUGCUCCGAACAAAUGAUGUGUGUAUCUCAUUAUACUGGUUUUGAAUCAUGUGGUACACAUAGUCUCAAUCUCUACACAAACCGCCCUUACUAUUUCCCAACCAAUUUUUCAAAGUAGCAUGGGCAGACUCAACUCUGUUAGUUAUUGUAUUUCUAAGGUGUCUAACAUUAUCAAUCCAUGCACAAACAAUUUUCUUCUUUACCUGGUCAAGAAUUGUGCUUUCAACAUAUUUCAACAAAUCCGGAUACUUUUCAUACACUUUCCUGAAAUGCAUAACAGAAGCGACAUAUAGUUCUUUUAUGAAAGAAAUUAUUAUACGAUUCCAUGCAUCAAUUAUUUUUUCCACAACCAGACCCUCCUUCCCCAUUUUCCCAUCUUCAGACUCUAUUUGAUUCGUCCCUAUGUUAUGUGAUACCUACAAAGUAAUGAAUUAGAGGAAGAAAAUACCUUUACAACCGAUUUCAUCAAGACGGUAUCGCUGUCGGUAACAAUCACUUUAUGCAUCUUACCUUGGUCUUUCAAUAGUGUCUGACACACCUCUAAGGCCUAAGUAAAAUUGUCUUAUUUUUCACACUCAAGAAAUACAAACCCAACUGAAUAUCUCUUCUUAGUUGAUGUAACACCAACCAUCUCCAAUAAUGGAAGUCUAUACUUGUUGGGUUUGUAGGUUGAAUCAAGUAUGAGCAUGGUAGGAAACGUACUGAGCAACUUUAUGGAAUCAGGAUGAGUCCAAAAUAUAUCUCUAACAAUAACUUCAUCCUCGCAAGUUUGGUACCUAGACACGUAAUCGUUAUCAUCCAACAAUUUCAAGAGUUGUUGCAUUUCAAUUAUACCCCCUUAAGCGCCUUGUUAGUUUGAUACCGAAUAUUAUACACUUGCUUGAUAUUUGAUAUAUUUUCGGGUCUUUUCCGUUUCAAUAUUGCAAGUAUAUUUUUCGGUUGAAUCAAAUUCAAUGUCAUGUCAGCAACACAUCCUUUCUCUUUCGGCAUGAGCCGACACACACUAGGAUGACUGGCUAAUUUUUCACAAAAUCAUGGUUAUGCAAACCACAUAUGACAUUAAAUCUCCAGUUUUUAUUUUCCAACAUGUAACCACGCACCUUAAACAAACAUUCACAUUUUCUUGAACCGGUGCCGUCUCUUUUAAAAAUAUGGAGUGGAGUUCUAUAUCUCCAGCUUCUUUCGCACGUCAUUAUCACAAAAGUGCACCUUCUAUCUGAACCGUUAUCGGGCCUUCCAAUAGCCACACUAAAUCAAAGUUUAGAGACCUACAUAUGAAUCCAUUGAAGCAUUUGAUCACAAGAUUCAAACUCUUGCUCAUUUUUAAAUUGGUUCCCAACAUAUACCGCCCUCACAACAACACCUUGGACAUUCGGAGAAACAACUUGUUUUGAGAAAACAUCGGGGUGCACCAUAUCUAAAGAAAAUAAUUACAACAUAUACGCGCCACUGCUGAAAACAAAGUUGGAAAGUGAACACAAAUUAGUUCCAGAAAUGCAUCUCUGAAAAUGUUCAUACUCGUUCUGGAGAUACAUUUUCGGACACAACGCUCAUUUUUUCAAACAAAAUACAUGAUUAAUAUGAGAAAUGCAGUGUGAAAUAAAUGAUCUUUACAUGAAAUUAUAACUUCUUUUGCUCCCUUUGAUAUGAUGAACCACAAGUUUAGAGAUUUGGAGUGAAAAAAUAGAUUGAGAAUGGAAAGGUUUUUGGUAAGGGUUUGUAGAGAAAAACAACAAUGACAAUAAUGGUUGUGUGAUCAUGCAACUGUUUUUUUAUCAGAUUAUUCCGGAGAUGCAUCUCCAGAAAUAUCUCACAUGAAAAGGUGACAAAAUAUUUCAAAAUCCCAUCCAAACUUCCGAAGAUGUAGCUCCAUAAAUUCUACUGAACUGAUCAAUUAUGAAUAUAUUUCUUGAAAUGUUCUGGAGAUGCAUCUCCGGAAUAAAAAUAACCCAACUUAUAGGGCGCCACUCAUAAUGGUGUGUGUGUGUGUAUGUGUGUGUGUGUGUGUGUGUGUGUGUUGUGUAACACCCUUCUAAAAUACCCCAAAUAUUUAAUUAAAAUAACAACAUAUAUCAAUCAGAGUAGAUAUGCAAUUACGGGUGUCACACAAUUACUUCACAACUUGAGUUUGGUGUGUGAGAGAUCACAUAGUGUCAAAUUGGGAAUGUGAAACUAACAAGUGGUAUUUGGAUGAGAUCAGAGAGGUCAGAAAUCUGAUGUGCUUUUGGUUGAUAAGUUGACUUUAGUGAAUCAAGGUCAAGGUGGUGAAUUCAGAGUUGAUGAGAAUGGUAUUUUGAAAUUUGGUAAUCGGGUGUGUAUUCCGGAUGUUGCGAGCUUAAGAAGAGUAUUCUUGAAGAAGGACAUCGUAGUGGUUUGAGUAUUCAUCCUGGAGCUACGAAGAUGUAUCAAUGAUUUGAAGAAGUUGUUUGGUGGCGGGAAUGAAAAGAGAAAUUGCGAGUUUUUGUUUAUUCCUGUUUGACUUGUCAGAAAUCAAAGAUUGAGCAUCAGAAGCCGUCUGGGCUAAUGCAACCGUUGGCUAUUCCAGAGUGGAAGUGGACAGUAUCAGUAUGGAUUUUGUUUGGGUUUACCGAGAACAAGUUAAGAAUUUUGAGGCUAUUUGGGUGAUUGUGGAUAGAUUGACAAAAUCGGCUCAUUUCAUUCCGAUCAGAAUGGAUUAUCCGUUGGAGAGGUUAGCUGAAUUGUAUAUUGAGAAGAUUGUAAGUCUACAUGGUAUCCCGUCGAGUAUUGUUUCGGACAGAGAUCCUAGAUUUACAUCGAGUUUUGGGAAGUUUGCAGAGGCUUUGGGAACUAAGUUGAGAUUAGUCUGCAUAUCAUCCGCAGACUGAUGGUCAGACUGAGAGGACGAUUCAGUCAUUAGAGGAUCUUUUGAGACUGUGUUUUGGAAAGGGAGUGCUUGGGAUUGUUAUUUACCUUUGGUUGAGUUUACUACAACAAUAGUUUUCAUUCGAGUAUUGGUAUGGCACCGUUUGAAGCUUGUGUAUGGUAGGAGAUGUCGACACUUUAUGUUGGUAUGAGUCCGGUGAGAGUGCUGUGGUUGGACCAGAGAUUGUCAACAGACUACUGAAAAGAUUAAGAUGAUUCAGGAUAGAUGAGAAUGCUCAGAGUCGUCAGAAGAGUUAUCAUGAUAGAGGAGAAAGUCCUUGAGUCCAAGAGGAGAUCAUGUGUUUCUUCGUGUACUCCGAUAACUGGUGUUGGUCGAGCCUGAAGUCAAAGAAGCUGACUCCUCGAUUUAUUGGUCCUUAUCAGAUUUUGGAGAGGUAGGGGAGGUAGCCUAUCGUAUCGCUUUACCGCCGUCACUUGCGAAUUGCAUGAUGUUUUUCAUGUGUCUCAUUGAGGAGAUACGUUCAUGAUCCGUCGCAUGUAGUCCAAGUAGAUGAUGUACAGGUGAGAGAUAACCUGACUGUUGAAACAUCACCUAUGAGGAUUGAAGAUCGAGAGUUGAAGCAGUUGCGGGGGUAAAGAGAUUGCCUUAGUGAAGUAGCUUGGGAAGGACCAGCAGGUGGCAAUGUGACUUGGGAACUUGAGAGUCAGAUGAAGGAACUUAUCCAGAGUUGUUCGCUUGAGGUAUGGUUCGAGACGAAAACUCUUUUAGUGGGGAGAGUUGUAACACCCCAAUUAAAAUAAGAUAUUAUUUAAUUUAAAUUAAUAUUUUUUUAUUAAUUUAAUUGAAUAAUUGGAAAUUUGGAUUAUUAUUAUUAUUAUUUUGGAAUAAUAAUUAUUGGAAUAAUUAUUUAUUGGAAUAUAUAAGUUGAAAUAAAAGUCCCAAUUUGGAAAAAAGGUUUUCACGUGAAAAGGAAAAGAGAAGCGGCUGAAAGAGAGAGAAGGGCAAAAGGCAGAGCAAGAGAAGAGGAAAAGCUUGAAGCUGCAGAAUUGCCGGAUUAACUCAGUAAGGGGGUUAUCAUCGGUUAAAGGUAUAUGAUAAUAUGUACUGGUAGUGAUAACCAUUGUUUUACCUCUGAUUAGAUGGAUGCAUGAUGAAUUGUGAAAUAUUGGAUGAAUGAAAUUGGAUGAUAAUUGAAAGGUUUGGUAGGAAUUGGAUGUAAAGUGUUAGAUUUG